rnacentral:rRNA from 2 species
UAGAGUUUUAUCAUGGCUCAGAACGAACGCUGGCGGCGUGCCUAACACAUGCAAGUCGAGCGCGAAUAGGGGCAACCCUUAGUAGAGCGGCGCACGGGUGCGUAACACGUGGAUAAUCUGCCUGAGUGCUCGGGAUAACCAGUCGAAAGAUUGGCUAAUACCGGAUAAGCCCACGGUUUCUUCGGAGACUGAGGGAAAAGGUGGCCUCUGUAUACAAGCUAUCACAUUCAGAUGAGUCCGCGGCCCAUCAGCUAGUUGGCGGGGUAAUGGCCCACCAAGGCGACGACGGGUAGCUGGUCUGAGAGGACGAUCAGCCACACUGGAACUGAGACACGGUCCAGACUCCUACGGGAGGCAGCAGUGGGGAAUUUUGCGCAAUGGGCGAAAGCCUGACGCAGCAACGCCGCGUGUGUGAUGAAGGUCUUUGGAUUGUAAAGCACUUUCGACCGGGAAGAAAACCCGUUGGCUAACAUCCAACGGCUUGACGGUACCGGGAGAAGAAGCACCGGCUAACUCUGUGCCAGCAGCCGCGGUAAUACAGAGGGUGCAAGCGUUGUUCGGAAUUAUUGGGCGUAAAGCGCGUGUAGGCGGCGUGACAAGUCGGGUGUGAAAGCCCUCAGCUCAACUGAGGAAGUGCGCCCGAAACUGUCGUGCUUGAGUGCCGGAGAGGGUGGCGGAAUUCCCCAAGUAGAGGUGAAAUUCGUAGAUAUGGGGAGGAACACCGGUGGCGAAGGCGGCCACCUGGACGGUAACUGACGCUGAGACGCGAAAGCGUGGGGAGCAAACAGGAUUAGAUACCCUGGUAGUCCACGCCGUAAACGAUGAGAACUAGGUGUCGUGGGAGUUGACCCCCGCGGUGCCGAAGCUAACGCAUUAA